UGAACGCUGGCGGCAUGCUUUACACAUGCAAGUCGAACGGUAACAGGUCUUCGGAUGCUGACGAGUGGCGAACGGGUGAGUAAUACAUCGGAACGUGCCUAGUAGUGGGGGAUAACUACUCGAAAGAGUAGCUAAUACCGCAUGAGAUCUACGGAUGAAAGCAGGGGACCUUCGGGCCUUGUGCUACUAGAGCGGCUGAUGGCAGAUUAGGUAGUUGGUGGGGUAAAGGCUUACCAAGCCUGCGAUCUGUAGCUGGUCUGAGAGGACGACCAGCCACACUGGGACUGAGACACGGCCCAGACUCCUACGGGAGGCAGCAGUGGGGAAUUUUGGACAAUGGGCGAAAGCCUGAUCCAGCAAUGCCGCGUGCAGGAUGAAGGCCCUCGGGUUGUAAACUGCUUUUGUACGGAACGAAAAGCCUGGGGCUAAUAUCCCCGGGUCAUGACGGUACCGUAAGAAUAAGCACCGGCUAACUACGUGCCAGCAGCCGCGGUAAUACGUAGGGUGCAAGCGUUAAUCGGAAUUACUGGGCGUAAAGCGUGCGCAGGCGGUUUUGUAAGACAGUGGUGAAAUCCCCGGGCUCAACCUGGGAACUGCCAUUGUGACUGCAAGGCUAGAGUGCGGCAGAGGGGGAUGGAAUUCCGCGUGUAGCAGUGAAAUGCGUAGAUAUGCGGAGGAACACCGAUGGCGAAGGCAAUCCCCUGGGCCUGCACUGACGC
rnacentral:rRNA from 1 species